rnacentral:rRNA from 1 species
AUAAACACCCUUCUGACCUUGGAAGCUAAGCAGGGUCAGCCCUGAUUAGUACUUGGAUGGGAGGCCAUCAGGGAAGACCUGGUGGUGUGGGUU